GACGAACGCUGGCGGCGUGCUUAACACAUGCAAGUCGAACGCUGAAGCUCAGCUUUUGUUGGGUGGAUGAGUGGCGAACGGGUGAGUAACACGUGAGUAACCUGCCUCCUUCUUUGGGAUAACGCCCGGAAACGGGUGCUAAUACUGGAUAUUCACUGGUCUUCGCAUGGGGGUUGGUGGAAAGGGUUUUUCUGGUGGGGGAUGGGCUCGCGGCCUAUCAGCUUGUUGGUGGGGUGAUGGCCUACCAAGGCUUUGACGGGUAGCCGGCCUGAGAGGGUGACCGGUCACAUUGGGACUGAGAUACGGCCCAGACUCCUACGGGAGGCAGCAGUGGGGAAUAUUGCACAAUGGGCGCAAGCCUGAUGCAGCGACGCCGCGUGAGGGAUGGAGGCCUUCGGGUUGUGAACCUCUUUCGCUCAUGGUCAAGCCGCAACAACGGUUGUGGUGAGGGUAGUGGGUAAAGAAGCGCCGGCUAACUACGUG
rnacentral:rRNA from 1 species